GACGAACGCUGGCGGCGUGCCUAACACAUGCAAGUCGAGCGGAGAAUGCGGAUAUGUUUACAUGGAAGCGUUCUUAGCGGCGGACGGGUGAGUAACACGUGGGUAACCUGCCUCAAAGUGGGGGAUAGCCUUCCGAAAGGAAGAUUAAUACCGCAUAAGCCUACAGUGCCGCAUGGUACAGUAGGAAAAGGAGUAAUCCGCUUUGAGAUGGACCCGCGGCGCAUUAGCUAGUUGGUGAGGUAACGGCUCACCAAGGCGACGAUGCGUAGCCGACCUGAGAGGGUGAUCGGCCACAUUGGAACUGAGACACGGUCCAGACUCCUACGGGAGGCAGCAGUGGGGAAUAUUGCACAAUGGGCGAAAGCCUGAUGCAGCAACGCCGCGUGAGUGAUGAAGGCCUUCGGGUCGUAAAGCUCUUUGAUCAGGAUGAUAAUGACAGUACCUGAAAACAAGACCACGGCUAACUACGUAGCCAGCAGCCGCGGUAA
rnacentral:rRNA from 1 species